rnacentral:rRNA from 1 species
CCUACGGGUUGCACCAGUGGGGAAUAUUGCACAAUGGGCGCAAGCCUGAUGCAGCCAUGCCGCGUGUGUGAAGAAGGCCUUCGGGUUGUAAAGCACUUUCAGCGGGGAGGAAGGCGUUAAGGUUAAUAACCUUGGCGAUUGACGUUACCCGCAGAAGAAGCACCGGCUAACUCCGUGCCAGCAGCCGCGGUAAUACGGAGGGUGCAAGCGUUAAUCGGAAUUACUGGGCGUAAAGCGCACGCAGGCGGUCUGUCAAGUCGGAUGUGAAAUCCCCGGGCUCAACCUGGGAACUGCAUUCGAAACUGGCAGGCUAGAGUCUUGUAGAGGGGGGUAGAAUUCCAGGUGUAGCGGUGAAAUGCGUAGAGAUCUGGAGGAAUACCGGUGGCGAAGGCGGCUUACUGGUCUGCAACUGACGCUGAGGCGCGAAAGCGUGGGGAGCAAACAGGAUUAGAUACCCUCGUAGUC